rnacentral:misc_RNA from 1 species
AGGCAAUUUAAGAUUAAAUCUAAUCCAUAGAAUCAAGACUUGGAGGGUACCAUCCUAAUUGAUCCAUGAUUUUCUUCAUUCUUUCUUCCUGUCCUUUAGAAUCCCCAAAGGCUGUAGUGAAGGGAUACACAUAGGUGACUUUUGUGGCCAUACACCGAUAAACAACCACAUCUCCUUUUAUCAGAAAUUCAAGCACAUCCUGCCCAAAUCCUCCGUCAACCUCUGCUUGUAAAUAUUGGCCAUUUGGGGUAUCUUCAAUAACUUGAAUCUUGGCAUUUCUCUGCGUUUUCAAGAUUGCUUCCUGCAAUUUCUGAAUCGCAUUAUCUGCGGAGUUCUCAGGAAUUCUCCAUGGGAAUGCAAAUAAUGAAGAUUUAGGAUUUGUCGAUACACAACUUGGAUUAAUGGAUGGGCAAGGCCGAAUUUUCCCAUCUUCUAGUCCAAUCGGCAAGUUCUUGGAUUCAGAAAACGGUGUUG